rnacentral:rRNA from 1 species
GACGAACGCUGGCGGCGUGCCUAACACAUGCAAGUCGAACGGAGUUAAGACUUCGGUUUUAACUUAGUGGCGAACGGGUGAGUAACGCGUGAGGAACCUGCCUCUCAGUGGGGGACAACAGUUGGAAACGACUGCUAAUACCGCAUAAUGUUUCUGGACCGCAUGAUCUGGAAACCAAAGCUUUAUGUGCUGAGAGAUGGCCUCGCGUCUGAUUAGCUAGUUGGCGGGGUAACGGCCCACCAAGGCGACGAUCAGUAGCCGGUCUGAGAGGAUGAACGGCCACAUUGGGACUGAGAUACGGCCCAGACUCCUACGGGAGGCAGCAGUGGGGAAUAUUGGGCAAUGGGGGAAACCCUGACCCAGCAACGCCGCGUGAAGG